AUGAUGAGCUCGUUCUUCGGGCCGGUGGAUGGGGUACUAGGCCUCGUAAUGGCGUGGCUUCUGAUCUUGUUCCCUAUUGUGGGGUUCUUAGCGGUAAUUGCAGUAUGCCUCUGGAGCCUCUGCGGCGGCGAGCGGGCGGCAGAAGCGAACGCACCCGGACGACGAUUGGGCCGAUUGGCCGAGGUGAUGGCGGCCAUUGAACGGGCGGAGCAGAUGAGGCCGGCGACGGUGGCGCCAGCGCCGGAGCUGAUGGUGGAGCUGGGGUACUUCCCGUACUCGGCGGAGGGCAGGCGGGCGUCGGAGAGGCUGGUGUGCGCGAUCUGCCUGGAGGAGCUCCAGCAGGGACAGGCUUGCAGCGAGGUGCCGGUGUGCCGGCACGUGUUCCACCGGGACUGCAUCGACGCGUGGAUGAAGAGCCAGACCACCUGCCCGUUGUGCAGGCGGAAUAUCGCGGCCGGGUCAGAACGAGUAUCGGCUGCCAUUGACAUGGUUUAG
rnacentral:rRNA from 1 species